UGUCAAGGACAGAAGCAGUGGCUUGUUUCUCAGUAGUGCUUUUGUUAUAAAGUCUAGCUCUGGAAAAUUGUCAACAAUAACAGUGGAGAGUGACUGUAGCUAUGCUGCUGAUCGUAGCAUCAACGGAUUGCAGUUCCUCAUCUCUAAAUAUCGAAGAGAUGAAAACCAUUGCAUUUUAGUUAAACGUGGUAGUUGACGAUGAUUAGUCUGUUCAAGCAAGUGAAUG
rnacentral:misc_RNA from 1 species